rnacentral:rRNA from 1 species
UAUCUCUGUAGAGUCUGCAUAUCAAUAAGCGGAGGAAAAGAAACUAACAAGGAUUCCCCUAGUAACGGCGAGUGAAGCGGGAAGAGCUCAAAUUUGAAAUCUUCAAGGUUCUACCUUGACGAAUUGUAGUUUAAAGAAGUGUUUUCGGUUAGAGGAGUAGUAAAAGUUCUUUGGAAUAGGACAUCAUAGAGGGUGAGAAUCCCGUAUUUGACUAUUCUUCUAGCUUUGUGAUACACUUUCAAAGAGUCGGAUUGUUUGGGAAUGCAGUCCAAAAUGGGUGGUAAAUUUCAUCUAAAGCUAAAUAUUGGCGAGAGACCGAUAGCGAACAAGUACCGUGAGGGAAAGAUGAAAAGAACUUUGAAAAGAGAGUUAAACAGUACGUGAAAUUGUCAAAAGGGAAGCGUUUGACACCAGUGUUGUUUUUCCGAAAAUCAAUAAAAAUUGAUUCAUGCCAGGUUGUAUUGACCUUAUCAGCUUGCAAUUUGGUUUUGGGUCUCUUUUUGAUGCACUUUUCGGUUAACAAGUCAACAUCAAUUUCCUUUGCUGUAAAAAGGUAAGAGGAAGGUGGCUUCAAUUUCGGUUGAAGUGUUUAUAGCCUUUUAUCUCUGCAGUCGGGGAGAUUGAGGUCUGCAGCGUAGAUCCUUCGGGGCUAGAUACACUUAUGCUAAGUUAUAGCUUUUCAUAGACAACUUGUUGACUAUGUUUAGUCAUGUAGCUUACUCGUAAGUGCUAUUUUACCUACGCUUAGGAUGUUGAGCGCAUGUCUCUCUCU